GCUGUGGCUCAGUGGCAGAGCAUCUGCUUUGAGUGCAGAAGGUCCUGGGUUCAAUCCCCAGCAACAUCU
rnacentral:tRNA from 1 species